UACCCUUGCCAAAGCACACCUGGCUCAACACCGCCGCCUUUCCCCCAAAGGAAAAUACCAAAAAACUCUUCUGACUCAGGCAGACACGCUGCCAUCUCCAAGGGGAAGCAGUCCAAACCUGAGCUGGCUUCCGUCCCCCCGAAGCUCGAGUUUGCUCAGUCAACCCAGUUCUGCUAUCCAGCAGCAUCCAGAAUGGAGGUCAUCAGUUUUGAAGCCACUGUAUGAAGAAAUGCAAAUACAAUUGUCAAACUCAAAAAUACCAAACCACUCUCCCUCAGGUUCUCCUCCCAGAAACCACAUAUUAGCCAAGUUUCUCUGCUGCCACUUUCUGGAGAUCUUAUCAAAUGAACAUCCUGGUUCCAAAGCACUGCAGAUUCCUACAUGGCAUAGCAAGCAAAGGCCUGUGUUAAACACAGACACUCACUCUGCCACUACAGUCUCUGAACUAUACCAGGCUCUCUCCUGCAUGGGAACGCAUCAGGAAAGGCAGCUUUGCAGGGUGGCCUUCCGAGGUGGUGGUCUCAGGCUGCUCCCCUCCUGUGGCUCAAGGGGCCAUUGCUGGCCAAAGCAAUUGGCAAAGUCAGGGAAGAAAAACACAUCAGGCCUUUUAAGUUCAGAGACACCGCUUCUGAAAGGCUCCUGAGUCACAGAUAACUGGAAACCAGGACUGCACUAGCGAGAUACCGGUUGCCCUGUUCUUCCAUUCUUCCCUUGGCAUCUGCUGCUGGCGAACCCCAGGCGAUAGAGCACCGGCUUGGCCAGGCCCUUGUCUGACCCAGGGCAGACGUUCCGCUCUUCGGUUAGGCCUCAGAAAUGACUGCAGAAACAACAUGGGACCAACAGUACCAGGAACACCUACAAUACCAAAAUGGUGUGUUUAUCAGUCCUGAGCUCCCACACAAGGCAGCCACCGCAGCGUCUCCAAGAUGUUAGCAUUUGCCAUUCUCGGACUCUUUGCUUGGGCUUCCGGGAGGAGGCAGAUGUGUAGCUUAUCGCUCACCCCACUUCUAGCGUUUCAACACUUGUGCCUUUGCUUGCAGAGUCAUUGUCGUAGGGAAGUAUGUGACCACUAGGCUCCAGCUUGCAGCCAGCAUGCUGCGUUGCUCAACAGUGACAGUUGGGUUUACAUCAGCCAUCAUCCUCUGUGGCAAUGAAGUGCUUCCCCAAGACCAGAGCUGCUUUUCAGCUGCAGAAACCAUUGUAACAGAACAAAAGGGGGUUUGGCUGUACAACAUCCAUCUGUCUCUCAGGCCACGAGGUAUCACGCUGCUGGGCCUCCCUGUAACUAUUGCAUCAAACCUCUCCUCUUUGAACACAGAUGAUCUUUGCAGCCGUUGUCCCCAAAAACCACCUCUCAUAGCAGGAUCACCUGCAUCAGUCAGACCCCUCCACAGUGGGACAAGAAAAGUCCAAACAAAAUCAUGUGGGUUGCUACAACUGCCAACAAGUUUUAUAAAAGUGGGAUUUUUUCGUAAGCAUUGCCUUGACUGCCUGCAAUGUUUCUCACCCUUCCCAAGAGGAAAAGUAUAUUUUGAAAGAUUGCAGCCCUCGUAACCUGGGCAGCCGUUUCUCUUCUACUGAGACUCUUAAAAGAGUAUUUUAAAAAUCAUACGGCUCCAUGCUAUAGCUGAAGAGAGAGGGACCCACCAAACAGACCAGAGUACCUCCAACACCCAGUAUCUACUUCCAGCGCAUCUUCCCUGUUGUGAUGGAGCUCUUGAGACAUCCCAGGGCAUUUUCCACUUCAGCAAAAUUCUGUCGGCACACCUUUUCCCACUGCAGUGCUUCACGUGGUGUUGCCUACAGCAGGGAUGCAGGCUGAAACGGCAUCAUGAUCGUGUUUGCAGCGUCCUCCUUCCCUCUGCACACCCAAACCAGCCCGCUGAGCGCACAUCCAGGUAUCGUGGCUGUUAAACCACGCAGGGUCCUCAACGGCCCCUCUUCAGCUGUGACCUUGCCCGUAGAGCUGGUCAGUGGAAGACCCGAGGGAGAAGCAGAGACUCCUUAGCCAAGACUAGACGGCACGGAGAGGCGGCCAGACCCGACCGGAGCCCAGGGAACAGCUACGGGAGGGGAGGCCCAAGGUGAGCAUGUUCCUUGAAAGCCGGAGGAAGGCUGUGAAAUGGGCAGAUCCUCCCCGGGGGCUCAGCCUCCGCGCCCGGCCCCUGCAAGGCCCCGGCUCGCUCAGAGCCGGCCUGGCCCGGAGAGGAGCGGAGAGCGGCUUCAAGCAGAGACCCCCGCGGCUGCAGGCGGCGUCGAGCGGGAGCGCCGGGCCGGGCUCUGCCCCGCUCCCCGCCAGGGCCCGGGGGGCACCGGCAGCCCGCAGCGGCCCGGACGGCGGGGCCCAGCGCGCCCACGGCCCGCCGCGCCGGACCUGAUCGGGGCCCGGCCCGGCCCGGCGCCGCCACCCGGGCUCGCUCCCGCCGCCGGGUGUCGCUGCCGCUCCGCUCGCGGCGCUCCGGGGCUCCCCCGCGCCGCCUCAGCCGCUGCGGGCCUCGGCGGCGGCCCCUACCCCAGGCGCGGCCCCGCGGAGGCCCUGCCCGCCUCGGCCGCGGGCACAAGGGCAGCCCCGGCCCCGCGCUGCGCCGGGUGCGGGGUGCCGGGGCCGCCCCCCCCCCCCCCGCGGCCCGGGGGCUGGCAGACACCCCAUUUCCAUGACGGGUGGUGCUGUGGAAACGGCAUGGGAACAUUCCUUGCGAUCCUAGGCUUACUGCCUCCCCAGGGAAAAAGCUGCUGGUCAGAAAAAUACAAGGAGGACUUUUCAGAGGCGGCCUGGAUUUUAUUUUUAACGUCCAUGUAAAAAUAAUGCAAAUAAAGAUUUGUGCCUGCUCGUGCACCCAGAAGAUGGAGCGGCGGGACAGCAGCGGAGAUUUUCCCAGGCAGCUUCAAGCAGUCCUGCUGAAUAACUGCAAGUGAAGCGAAAGGAGCGAUGCUGAAUUCUUUGCCCUGGGAAUCGCCUUCCUACCAGUGAAAAUGUGACCUCUGGUAUUAUGUCAGCUACAGCAUUCUGCUAGGACCGGAUUAAGAAAACAAAACAAAGAAGGGUCUGCUAAUAACAGUAAUCUUAAGGAACUGGGUUCUUGUCAGCCUCCAAACCCAGCAAUGAUCAAAAUCAUCACAGCUGCUGCCUGCCUCAACCCGGCACUUCUCCCUAAAGCACAACGUGCUUUCAGAGACCACCAGCAACAGCGUGUCCUGGGAGUGUCCGUGAGCAGAGACGCUGGCAGCGCCCGUGGUUGCUCUGAUGCCUGGUCGCAGGGCACAUGGCGUGUCUGCACGGGGUUUCCUUCUUGCCGAGCAUCCGUCGCCUCGCUGAGCCACUGCACAGAGGCGAGCGGGGAUGGCCUUCCCCAGCAGGCAGGCAGGCAGCAGAGAAGUAGGGACACCAAGAAAGAAAACUUGAAGAAGUGGACUGUUCUUUUGGUGCAAGCACUGCCCCUGGUUCCCAUUGGCAGGGGUAAUUAAUUGCUUUCUUUAGGGUUCAGAGACAGAGAAAUCAGGAGGGUAGUAGGGGGAGAAACAAACAUUUCUGCUUCUUCUAGAAAACAGGUAAAUACAGGCACUGCACCCAGGGAAAGUAACUGGAGGUAGCCUUGCCUUAUCAACUUCUUGCUUAAACCCCUCCAUGCUGCCACCUUUCCUGUCCCUUAUGGCAUAAGGCCAGUGGGAGAGCAGCGCAGAGGUCCAACAGGGAGUGUACAAGGGAGGGUACGGAUACUAGGAGGUUAGAGCUCAAGUGAUCUUCAAGUUGAGCCCUGAACUGUUGAUGACAGCCCCAGGCCUCCAUGGCAAAUGCAUCUUAAAUAUAGUGAUGAUUUUAAAUUGCUCAGCGCCUAAUUAACACACCUAAAACUUAUUACUCCUACUGUUUCCACAGUCUGAUGCCAGGCACCUGAUUUAACUUCCCAAGCUAAGAGCCAAGCUCCCUCGCUAGGCACAUCAUUGAUGUGGAAGUGUAGAUCCCAUUUUGCCUAGGAGUGCCUCCAGAAGAUGCACCAUAACUGCUGCCUAUCCCGAGCUGGCCUCUGGAAAGACCUUCCCUCCUGCGUGGAUCAGAGAGAGAGUCAAGGCUUCCAGCUUUGGCUCCACUGGAGGUGCCUGCAUUACACAGCAUAACUACUGUCCUUCUGAUUCCUCUUCAGAAGAUUCUAAACUGCCCGUAUCACUUUGGGUGGCUCCUUCUUAGGCCCCUUUGGAGCUCAUGCAAAGCUUCUCUAGAAUUGUACUUUGUGUGACCUCCAAAGGUGGUCUAUACUCCCCAUCAUAGCCUUAAUGGAAGGCACGGGCAGGAGUGCCUGUACGGUUUUUGCACCCCAAGACCGGGAGGUGCACACUCAACCUUCCCAACUUACAUUAGGGGUCAGAGGCAACUGACAGUGAAUAGACAGUCUUCACAAGGACAGGUACAGGAUCCACUCUGCAGUGGCAAAGCAGACCUCCGGCACACAGAGGCAGGGCAGCUUUGACUGUCAACGCACAGACGUCAGCUCUGCCAUCUUUCCCCCACUGGCAUGGCUUUGCAUCCUUCAGCCUGGUCCUCACAAAGGUCCUUCUCUCUCUCUGGCAGUUACAGUCCCACAAGGUUUGCAGGUGCUGCCAGCUGGGAUGAGUGCCAUAACAAGUUUUAUGCUAUUAAUGUCUCGAGAAAGGAGAAAUGAGCAAAAGGGAUAGGUGAGCAAAAGACCACGGCACGCAGCCCGCACUGGGCACGCGGACGAGGCGUCAGCCGUGGUGCGAGUGAGUACUCACCGCUGGAAUGUCCCACAGGAAAGGGGCCAGAGGCCAAGAGGAUGUGAAGCAAGGUAAGGUCAGCCCGAGCUGACCCGCAAGCUGCUCACAUCCCAAGGGAGAGGAGCCAGCCCUGGGAAGAGCAGCACUAGCAUUUGUCUCUAUAAAUAAGUGCAAACAGGUAGGUUUGGCUGGGCUGCAGAGCACGACAGCAGCUGCAAAUCAGAGUGGAGCCCACAGAGAUGGUGUCACUCUGCAAGAACACCUGAGCUGAAUCAUCAGGAGUAUCUGCACUUCACAGCGGGGAUCCGCGUUCCCAUGAGCACACGGGGAGGGAGAGCACAGGCUAAUGCAGACGAAAGGGCAGUGCCUGUUCCGUAAGCUGGAUGGCCGUGCUGAUGCGCCUCACUCCUGCAGCACACCUGGAGCUCCCCUGCCGGUCUGUGCCGGGCUCUGGCUCUCGCUCCCGGGGUCCCACAAGCUUUCCCGUUCACAGCUACCCGGAGGUCAUUCAUCCCCUCUGAGCAGCUCCCCAGUCACACUGGCAGUGGUGCAAUUUGUCAAUGAAAAUGUGUUUUGCCAUGUCGUUUUCUCAGGGACUGAAACAUUUUGUUCUUUAUUCAGGGACACAUUUUUUAUUUUAAUCAAUCUUUUGGAGAUCAAUAGAAAUAUAUAUGCAUGCUGAGUGGGGCAUGGUCCUCCUCAAAUUUCCCUUCAUUUAUUUGAUAAAAUGAAAGGGUUCUCCAGUUUCUUUCCAUAUGUAGCAUUUUUCGUUUGCAAAAACAUGGGAAGAACAAAAAAAAAAUGCAUAUUUCAGAUACUUUUUUCUUUCAGCUGUUGGUUCUUAGCCUUUUGCAUCAUGUUCCCAUGAGAAAAAUAAAAUACAUUUCUUACUUCACGUGA